UUUCUCAAAUUUCACUCUCUUUACGCUUUUCUGGUUAGUGAAAAUUCACUGCAUAUGCAUAAACCUUAGUGACCGUAUACCAAAUGCAGAAAUUGGAUGUCCACUGUAGAAUGUCUUAUAGCUUCUGAAAUCACUGUGUCUUUGCUUGUUUUGUUGUCUUUGGGGAGACUUUUAUAGUACAGCGGCGUCCAUUUGGUUGGCUAAGCGCCUGAAUUUCUUGUUGAGUGUUGUAGGCACUGAUGAGGAAAAUGAGGGGGUUUGGUGAUAAAAGGGGCAAUUUGUGGCAUAUUGCUUAUGAAGACCUUG